rnacentral:lncRNA from 1 species
GUCUCUCUUACAUAUUUUAUAUGAGGGUUGAGUAAGUUUGACGGAUAGUUGAUUUAGAAUUUUGAGAUACUUUUGAGUAAGGUUUGCAAACUCCGUAUCGAAACUCGUGCCGAUCAGUCAACGGUAUGGGUCCACAUUAGACCAAACUGGCAUGAAUCGACACAAGCGAAGAAAACAAAUCGGGAGGAGGAAAAGAGAGAAAGAGAGAGAGAGAGAGAGAGAGAAAGGGAAUGAAAGAAAAGGAGGGAGGG